rnacentral:rRNA from 1 species
AUACGGAGGGUGCGAGCGUUAAUCGGAAUUACUGGGCGUAAAGCGCGCGUAGGCGGCUUGGUCAGUCGGAUGUGAAAGCCCCGGGCUUAACCUGGGAAUUGCAUUCGAUACUGCCAAGCUAGAGUAUGGGAGAGGGAAGUGGAAUUUCCGGUGUAGCGGUGAAAUGCGUAGAUAUCGGAAGGAACACCAGUGGCGAAGGCGACUUCCUGGCCCAAUACUGACGCUGAGGUGCGAAAGCGUGGGUAGCGAACAGGAUUAGAUACCCCAGUAGUCC